AAGAGAUUAGCCCUCCCCCCCCCCCCCCCAAUUAAAUCAUAAACAUUAAUUCUUAUCACAGUAUCAGUGCUCCAUCUAUAGGCCUAACAAAGGGGUGUUGAUAGACUUUUGAUUGGCUGAGCCACCAUCUAUUUGAAAACAAGCGACUUUGAUUGGCUGGAGACAGGAAGUUAUGUUUUGAAAACAAAGGGGGUUUUCAUCAACUGACUUUGAGCUUUAAGGUAUAAUUGAGUAACAUUAAGACUUAUAAUUCUAGUUUAAAAUGUCUUGAAUAACUUUCAGCAUGAAGUAUUGUGUGGUGAAAACAAUGUGUAUGUACUACAAUGUGUAAAUCAACAAUAAGUUUGUUGCAAAGGAGAUUCAAAGUGGAUGGUUAAAGUGAUAUGGUCUCAUAAUUCAUCAACUGCCUGUUAUCUUGGAAUACUGAAGAACAGUUGUUUUAGGUUAAACUCCCAAGGUGAAAUUUACAUUGAUUGGAAGAUUCUUUGGAUAGAAUAUUCCUGCCAAAAGACAGCAGAAGGGGGACUAACUGAUGUAUGGAUUUUGACACCAGAUUUUACCCUGCACGAGCAGCCCAACUUGAGUAGAUCAGGAGUGGGAAAACUGAGCCCUGUCCUUGACCAAGGAAAGUUGGAUUUGUUGAGAGGACCUGAUCUCAAAUGAGAUCAUGCACAAGACGCACCUCGCAAAGGCCAUG